rnacentral:rRNA from 1 species
AGAGUUUGAUCCUGGCUCAGAUUGAACGCUGGCGGAAUGCUUUACACAUGCAAGUCGAGCGGCAGCGCGGGGGCAACCCUGGCGGCGAGCGGCGGACGGGUGAGUAAUACAUCGGAACGUACCCUGUCGUGGGGGAUAACGAGUCGAAAGAUUCGCUAAUACCGCAUACGACCUGAGGGUGAAAGCGGGGGAUCGCAAGACCUCGCGCGAUAGGAGCGGCCGAUGUCGGAUUAGCUAGUUGGUGAGGUAAAGGCUCACCAAGGCGACGAUCCGUAGCUGGUCUGAGAGGAUGAUCAGCCACACUGGGACUGAGACACGGCCCAGACUCCUACGGGAGGCAGCAGUGGGGAAUUUUGGACAAUGGGGGCAACCCUGAUCCAGCCAUUCCGCGUGAGUGAAGAAGGCCUUCGGGUUGUAAAGCUCUUUCGGCAGGAACGAAACGGUCGUCUCUAACAUAGAUGGCUAAUGACGGUACCUGAAGAAGAAGCACCGGCUAACUACGUGCCAGCAGCCGCGGUAAUACGUAGGGUGCGAGCGUUAAUCGGAAUUACUGGGCGUAAAGCGUGCGCAGGCGGUUUCGUAAGACAGAUGUGAAAUCCCCGGGCUUAACCUGGGAACUGCGUUUGUGACUGCGAGACUUGAGUGCGGCAGAGGGGGGUGGAAUUCCACGUGUAGCAGUGAAAUGCGUAGAGAUGUGGAGGAACACCGAUGGCGAAGGCAGCCCCCUGGGUCGACACUGACGCUCAUGCACGAAAGCGUGGUAGCAAACAGGAUUAGAUACCCUGGUAGUCCACGCCCUA